CGGGGCGCUGCUGGGGACGUGCGAUCCGAGCUGGCGGGGUCCCCUUGCUGCUCACCACCCACCCGGUCCCCAGCAUCUGACGGUGUUUCCGGGGCUCCGAAGGCUCCUGGGCAGUGCGACCAGUGCCGGAGGAAGGAAGUGGAGACAGGUGGUGCUUGUGCCAAACCAGGAUCCCCGCUUUAUUCUCCUGAGACCCCGCCCCAUCCCAGGAGACCUGUCCCUGCUCCAUUUUUCAGGCAGAGUGACUUUAAACUAAACUCAGUGAAGGCCAAACUUCCCUCCAUAUGGCCGAAGGAUCAUCUACAGAGGGCUUUGAAGAAUGGGACUUUCUAAUGGCUGGAUCAUUUGAAGGUUUUUGAAGAAUAUCAAGGAAAAACUCCAUCAUCGACCACGCUCCUGCGCCUCUCGGAGACCUAAGGAGAGAUUGGAUGGUGAGCUCCCUGCCAGGAACACUAUGGGGAGGUGCAGAUCCUUUAAGAGGCGGGUUCUGCUGGAAGCCAGGUCAUUGGGGACGUAGCCUUGGGAACCUGGGACCCAGCUCUGUCCUCUUUCUGCUUUGUGCCCUGACCUCCCUACCAGGAUGGACCAGAGAAGCCAGCCAGGGAGCCCUGUCUGAAACCCAGAAACCUUGGGCCCAAAUAAAUCCUUUCCUCUUUUUAAAUGGAUUAUCCCUGGUAUUUUGUCACAGUGAAGGAAUGAAACAGAUUUAUGUAAUUCACAAGAAAAAAAAUGUGUUUGUUUAUUCAAUCAAUGCACUCUGAAAGCCAAAGACAAUCCAAAGUGGAAUUCGAAGGACUUAGGCCUUCACCAUGGAAAAUCUUCAGUCGGUCAGUCAAUCAACAAACACUCCCUGCUGCCCACAGAGGCAUUGAGGAGGCAGUGCUGGGCAAGCUUCCUCCAGGUGGAGCAAAGACAUUUGAGACCUCACUAAUGGCGGUCCCUCCUACAGCUCUCCUCUUUGGGUCCCGGGAAUCCCCUUCCCAGAUGCCAGCCAAAAUCCCCACAAAUUCUCUGAAUGGCUGAGAGCCUGCAUCACGUGUUCACCUUAAGCCAAUCACCAGAGGCCGAUGUGAGAAAAAGACAGCGGGUCCGGGCCCAUCCUAACCUGGAUUAACCAGGAGUAGGAGAGUGGGUCUAGCUUCUGAACCGCGGGAAGUAUGGGAGCUGCAAACGGAUUUGCUUCUAGCCGGGUAGCCAUGCAGCCCGCAGCGCAGCUGGCCCUGCGGAGGUUUCAGCGCAUCACUGUUUAGCGCCACUGUGCCCCAAGUCUGCGCGAGACCUGCUCAUAUCCAAAGCUUAGUCAUUGUUGAAAUGCAGGUUACACUGGUGCUGCUUUAAAAAACAGGCUGGCAGCUGGUCACAAACUUAACAGGAGAGGUAACAUAUGGCCCAGGGAAUCCACUUUCAGGUACGUCCGCAAGGGAACUGAAAACUCGUUCACACAAAACUGCAUAAGCCUGGCAAGAGUCAUUCCCGGCAACUCUCAUCCAGGAGCCACGCAGAGGAAAACCCAAGUGAGGGUCCAGCCGCACGAUGGAAAGUUACUUGGUUGUGAACAGGAACGAAGCUCUGAUAUUAACUACCACGAAGAUGAAUCUUAUAAACAUGAUCUGAGUGAAAAGAAAUAGGCGAGCUGGGUGUGCCCGCCUGUCAUCCCAGCGCUCGGGAGGCUGAGGCAGGAGGAUCCUUGGGAGUUUGAGACCAGCCUGGUCUACAAAGUGAGCUCAAGGCCAGCCUGAACUGCAUAGAGAGACCCUGUCUCAAAAAGACAAAAAGUAAAUUAAUAAAUAGGAAAAAAAAAGUAGGCACAAAAGACCACAUAAGAGGAUCAGAGGCUGGACGUGGGGCAUGGAGUGACACUUCCUGAGAGUGGGGUUUCUCAGGGGGAUAACAAAAGUGUCCUGGAAUCAUAUGCUGGCAAUGGUAGCCCAGGUCUGUAGCUAUGGAAAAAGCCACUGGACUGUACACUUAUACGAGGUGAAUUGCAUAGUAUGUGAGCUAUGUUCUUUUAUUUAUUUAUUUUUUAGGCAGGGUCUCGCUAUGUAGCCCAGGCUGACCUUGAACUCAUGGUGAGCCUCUUGCCUCAGCCUCCCAAGUGCCAGGAUUACUGGUGUGCACCACUACGCCUGGUUUUUUAUUGUUUGUUUCGGCAGAGCUGGACUUGGAAUCUAGGGCCUCCUGUGUCUCAGACAAGGGCUCGCCACAGAGCCACACCCCGACCCAGUUACGUCAAUUGAAAUAAUUGUGUGGGAAAAUUAAGUGGUUCUUGGUCAGUUUGCAUUUUGAUUUGUUCGAUCUGGCCACAAUAAAUCCGUGGAACCUUGUUCUCUUAAAACAA